rnacentral:lncRNA from 1 species
GCGAGAAACGUCCCGAAAACUCACAGAUAACUACUAGGCGGCCUCACUUUGAGUAAUAUUAAAGUUUUUUCCCACAAAAACAGCUCGGAGAUGCCCAGACUCAGUUUUUAUUUUCGUCCCAAUACUUUUCUUCCCAUGGUUUGGUUGUGUUCCUUUGAUCUUGUGCAACCUAUUUAGACCGAUGAUAGCCCGCGGAUAGGUGUGGAAACCCAUCUAUAUUGCACCCAGUAUGACACAGAAAAAAAUCCCAGGGCAUAGGGGUCGGGUGGGGCUCGUUCGGGGUGCACAACGGUUGCGCCAAAAACGGUCCAAAAAUGGCCAAGGCUUUACCAUACGAAAAAUCGGCCGAUUUUUAACCAUGCGAGAAACGUCCCGAAAACUCACAGAUAACUACUAGGCGGCCUCACUUUGAGUAAUAUUAAAGUUUUUUCCCACAAAAACAGCUCGGAGAUGCCCAGACUCAGUUUUUAUUUUCGUCCCAAUACUUUUCUUCCCAUGGUUUGGUUGUGUUCCUUUGAUCUUGUGCAACCUAUUUAGCCCGAUGAUAGCCCGCGGAUAGGUGUGGAAACCCAUCUAUAUUGCACCCAGAAGGACACAGAAAAAAAUCCCAGGGCAUAGGGGUCGGGUGGGGCUCGUUCGGGGUGCACAACGGUUGCGCCAAAAACGGUCCAAAAAUAGCCAAGGCUUUACCAUACGAAAAAUCGGUCGAUUUUUAACCAUGCGAGAAACGUCCCGAAAACUCACAGAUAACUACUAGGCGGCCUCACUUUGAGUAAUAUUAAAGUUUUUUCCCACAAAAAUAGCUCGGAGAUGCCCAGACUCAGUUUUUAUUUUCGUCCCAAUACUUUUCUUCCCAUGGUUUGGUUGUGUUCCUUUGAUCUUGUGCAACCUAUUUAGCCCGAUAAUAGCCCGCGGAUAGGUGUGGAAACCCAUCUAUAUUGCACCCAGAAGGACACAGAAAAAAAUCCCAGGGCAUAGGGGUCGGGUGGGGCUCGUUCGGGGUGCACAACGGUUGCGCCAAAAACGGUCCAAAAAUGGCCAAGGCUUUACCAUACGAAAAAUCGGUCGAUUUUUAACCAUGCGAGAAACGUCCCGAAAACUCACAGAUAACUACUAGGCGGCCCCACUUUGAGUAAUAUUAAUGUUUUUUCCCACAAAAACAGCUCGGAGAUGCCCAGACUCAGUUUUUAUUUUCGUCCUAAUACUUUUCUUCCCAUGGUUUGGUUGUGUUCCUUUGAUCUUGUGCAACCUAUUUAGACCGAUGAUAGCCCGCGGAUAGGUGUGGAAACCCAUCUAUAUUGCCCCUAGUAUGACACAGAAAAAAAUCCCAGGGCAUAGGUGUUGGGUGGGGCUCGUUCGGGGUGCACAACGGUUGCGCCAAAAACGGUCCAAAAAUGGCCAAGGCUUUACCAUACGAAAAAUCGGCCGAUUUUUAACCAUGCGAGAAACGUCCCGAAAACUCACAGAUAACUACUAGGCGGCCUCACUUUGAGUAAUAUUAAAGUUUUUUCCCACAAAAACAGCUCGGAGAUGCCCAGACUCAGUUUUUAUUUUCGUCCCAAUACUUUUCUUCCCAUGGUUUGGUUGUGUUCCUUUGAUCUUGUGCAACCUAUUUAGACCGAUGAUAGCCCGCGGAUAGGUGUGGAAACCCAUCUAUAUUGCACCCAGUAUGACACAGAAAAAAAUCCCAGGGCAUAGGGGUCGGGUGGGGCUCGUUUGGGGUGCACAACGG